UAGGGAAUAUUAGAAAUGGACGAAAGUCUGAUCUAGCAACACCGCGUGUGCGAAGAAGGCCUUCGGGUUGUAAAGCACUUUUUGGAAGGAAUAGGAAGGAAUGUACUUCCAGAAUAAGUCUCGGCUAACUACGUGCCAGCAGCCGCGGUAACACGUAGGAGGCGAACGUUAUCCGGAUUUACUGGGCGUAAAGCGCGUGUAGGUGGUUCUGUAAGUAGGGCGUGAAAGCUCCUGGCUCAACUGGGAGAGGCCGUUCUAAACUACAGAACUAGAGGAUGGUAGAGGGAGGUGGAAUUCCAGGUGUAGCGGUGGAAUGCGCAGAUAUCUGGAGGAACACCAGUGGCGAAGGCGGCUUCCUAGACUGUCUCUGACGCUCAUGUACGAAAGCGUGGGGAGCAAGCA
rnacentral:rRNA from 1 species